CCAGGAAGAAAGCAUUAAACCUUUGCUUGAGCUGUUUGUUGGUGUACUUGGGGUCCUGUGGAACUUCUCUCAAUGGUAACUGGCUUGAAGACUCCUUUGGUGAUCGUGGUAGUCGUGGGCUUGCCUUCUCUCUCUGGAAUAUCAGGUCCUCACAGAAAGGAAUUGAGUCCAUUUCAUAAAGAGACUCGGAAGUGUCUAGGAGGAGAGGGGACUUAGGCUCAAAAUCGAGUGUUGUUGACAAGCUUUGGGGCAUUUCAACUUGAGGAUUCAGUAAGGCCCACCAUGAGGAGUCAGGACCAUACUUAGGUAAGGACCGAGGGGCUAAGGGCCAAGGAGUCAGUUCCAGUUCUGCAUGAAUGGAGGGCUUUCGAGAGGGUUCUGGAUACCUGACUGCAGGUCCUGAGUACAUGUAGUUAGUUUCUGCGGGUCUUUGGAUUUGCUGCUUAUGGAUGGACUCUGGAGUGACAUACAUGAGAGAUUUUCGAGGGCUGUCAGGCACUGCUCGAGCUGUAGGAUGAAGAGUUGACUGCACUGACUGUCGUGGUGAGGACAUGGUGACCCUGCAGCUGACUUCGUUGUCUCGGAUUGAGGAUCUCACACUGGGCUCCACAUCUGGUGAUAUUAAGACCUUUGAGGGUCUAGUCUCAGUGGAGACAGAACGUUUGUAGAGAGACUCAUGCUCUGAAUGUCUAGGAGGAACUCGAUGUCCACCAUCUAAAUCUUUAAGGACAGAGAGUUUGAGGGAUGAUGUCAAUUUCAUAUUCCUAUGCAAGGCCUUAGGUUCUAAAAGAACUGAUGUGUAAGGAUCCAUUUGUGACUCUUGGCCAUGACUCCUUUUAUGAGCUGCCCGGUGGUCUGUAGCGACCCGGCUGCUGCCAUGCUCUGGGCUAGUGGGACUCCUUGGAGAUCUGACCUCACCAGUCAAAAUCUUUCCAGUGGGCUCGGUUUGUACUGCUUCAUCCUUUGGGUAAGAUGAAAUCCUACGAGGAACUCUGACCCCUUGAGGGUUCUGGACCUUGGAAGGCGGAUCCUCUUGUAAGUUUUGUGAUUCUAAAGUAUCCUUCUCAUCUAUGAAACUCAAGAGGCAGGAGGAUUUGGCAUUUGGGGUCAAGGAGGUGCGACAGCCAACCUCACACCCUGGCUUGAUCUCACCCCCUCUUCGAGUUGCUUCCUCUUUGACAUUACGAUGUAUGCUUACAGGAUGGGGAGGUGCUGUAUGAACUUGCUGACUCUUUUGCUGAGGAUUGGAAACGCGUGGUCGGGUCUCAGUUCCCCUAGGGGUGGAUGCUGUAUAGAGGCUGGGCCCUGACUGUGGGGACACGGUGUGAGGAGAGUAUGAUGCUGAAUGGGAAGUAGUGGGAGGCGCAGCUUCAGCUCUUUGGGGAGGAGGGCUCCCAGAGACGGCAGCACUUUGCUGGCUUGUGGCAAAAAUGUACUCGUGUCCCCGCUGGGAGGUGGGGCUAGUAAACUCAGGUCCUCUAUGUGCUACCUUGGAUCCAGAUUUAUUUGUCCUGAGUAUCUGAAAGACUGUGCCCUUCUGUGUAGAUGCCAUAUUUUAUCAGCUGGCUUGUCUUCUGGAUUCUACUGAAGCCUUAUUAUUUACCCUUAUUUUUAAAAGCUGCUGUUCUUGGGCUCCCAUCAAACUGGCUGUUGUUCUAAGAGUGUUUCAAAGAAUCCCCUUAGCUACUUCUCUGAUGAUGUCAUAAAGGAAGGAGUGUCCUAUUAAACAUCCUCUCAUACAGCCAUAAUUCUUCAGAGAAAACCAAGCAAUACCCAAGAGGAAACUGAAUUUAUCUUUGGACUUGAGACGACCAAGCCUUUGGCCAAGUUCUAAACAAACUGGGGAUUUCCUCAUAUAAAGAAGGCUCCAGACCCUUCCUUACUCUCCCCAGUAGUAGGAUUUCUCAAGGACUCAUCCAGAGAAGUCUGCCAGAAAAUCGUUUGAAAGCAAGGCUAUUCAAGGUACCGGGGAUUGAACUCGGGUCCUUGUGCUUGCGCAGUAGGCGGUGAAACCACUGAGCUAAAUCCCCAGAGUAAUAUUGGUUUUGAUCAAAAAUGACACUUGUACACCUCUGACAAGUUACCUGAAUUGUCUGAGCCUCAGUUUCUUCACUGGGAAACCAAUGCCUGGAAUCUGAUUGGAAGCAAAUGGUUAAACAUGCUGCCUAUACACAGAGUCAAACCACCAUGACUACUAUAGCAGCUGAACAAAGUGUGAGAUAUGGAACUUGAACUGCUGCCCUGAUAGCAACUGAAGCAGACGAGAGAAGAAAGGAGCUCACAACCAGGAUGCUCAAAAUCAGGCUGGAAUCCAUCUAUGAUCCAGUUCCAGUCAGUCUGACAAGUCACUCUGAUCCAGUACGAUUAUCCUGUGCACACAAGUUUUAAAGGACAAAGAAGGGAGCUUAAAAUUGAUGUGUACAUUUAUUGUUCCUAUUAUUCUUAUUUGUGGUGCUAAAGCUCAAAACCAGUGCAUUGAAGAUGCUA
ensembl:lncRNA